GGAGAUUUAGCUCAAUGGUAGAGUGCUUGCUUGCCUAGCAAAUGCAAGGCCCUGGGUUCGAUCCCCAGCUCCA
rnacentral:tRNA from 1 species